rnacentral:rRNA from 1 species
AUUGAACGCUGGCGGCAGGCCUAACACAUGCAAGUCGAGCGGAUGAAGGGAGCUUGCUCCUGGAUUCAGCGGCGGACGGGUGAGUAAUGCCUAGGAAUCUGCCUGGUAGUGGGGGAUAACGUCCGGAAACGGGCGCUAAUACUGCAUACGUCCUGAGGGAGAAAGUGGGGGAUCUUCGGACCUCACGCUAUCAGAUGAGCCUAGGUCGGAUUAGCUAGUUGGUGGGGUAAAGGCCUACCAAGGCGACGAUCCGUAACUGGUCUGAGAGGAUGAUCAGUCACACUGGAACUGAGACACGGUCCAGACUCCUACGGGAGGCAGCAGUGGGGAAUAUUGGGCAAUGGGCGAAAGCCUGAUCCAGCCAUGCCGCGUGUGUGAAGAAGGUCUUCGGAUUGUAAAGCACUUUAAGUUGGGAGGAAGGGCAGUAAGUUAAUACCUUGCUGUUUUGACGUUACCAACAGAAUAAGCACCGGCUAACUUCGUG